rnacentral:rRNA from 1 species
CCUACGGGAGGCUGCAGUAGGGAAUCUUCCACAAUGGGCGAAAGCCUGAUGGAGCAACGCCGCGUGGGUGAAGAAGGUCUUCGGAUCGUAAAACCCUGUUGUUAGAGAAGAAAGUGCGUGAGAGUAACUGUUCACGUUUCGACGGUAUCUAACCAGAAAGCCACGGCUAACUACGUGCCAGCAGCCGCGGUAAUACGUAGGUGGCAAGCGUUAUCCGGAUUUAUUGGGCGUAAAGGGAACGCAGGCGGUCUUUUAAGUCUGAUGUGAAAGCCUUCGGCUUAACCGGAGUAGUGCAUUGGAAACGGGGAGACGUGAGUGCAGAAGAGGAGAGUGGAACUCGAUGUGUAGCGGUGAAAUGCGUAGAUAUAUGGAAGAACACCAGUGGCGAAAGCGGCUCUCUGGUCUGUAACUGACGCUGAGGUUCGAAAGCGUGGGUAGCAAACAGGAUUAGAUACCCCAGUAGUC